AAAGGCGCGCGAUACAGGGUGACAGCCCCGUACACAAAAGCGCAUGUGCUGUGAGCUCGAUGAGUAGGGCGGGACACGUGGUAUCCUGUCUGAAUAUGGGGGGACCAUCCUCCAAGGCUAAAUACUCCUGACUGACCGAUAGUGAACCAGUACCGUGAGGGAAAGGCGAAAAGAACCCCGGCGAGGGGAGUGAAAAAGAACCUGAAACCGUGUACGUACAAGCAGUGGGAGCACCCUUUGGGGUGUGACUGCGUACCUUUUGUAUAAUGGGUCAGCGACUUAUAUUCUGUAGCAAGGUUAACCGUAUAGGGGAGCCGGAGGGAAACCGAGUCUUAAC
rnacentral:rRNA from 1 species